rnacentral:rRNA from 1 species
AACGUAGGAGACAAACGUUAUCCGGAGUUACUGGGCGUAAAGGGCGUGUAGGUGGUUUAGUAAGUCUGGCGUGAAAUUUUUCGGCUUAACCGGGAAAGGUCGUCGGAUACUGCAAGACUAGAGGACGGUAGAGGCAUGUGGAAUUCCGGGUGUAGUGGUGAAAUGCGUGGAGAUCCGGAGGAACACCAGGGGCGAAGGCGACAUGCUGGGCCGGACCUGACACUGAUGCGCGACAGCAUGGGGAGCAAACAGG